CCUACGGGUGGCAGCAGUGAGGAAUAUUGGUCAAUGGACGCAAGUCUGAACCAGCCAAGUAGCGUGAAGGAUGACUGCCCUAUGGGUUGUAAACUGCUUUUAUACAAGGAUAAACUCAGAUACGCGUGUCUUUCUGUAAGUACUUUAUGAAUAAGGAUCGGCUAACUCCGUGCCAGCAGCCGCGGUAAUACGGAGGAUUCAAGCGUUAUCCGGAUUUAUUGGGUUUAAAGGGUGCGUAGAUGGUCGGUUAAGUUAGUGGUGAAAUUCUGCGGCUCAACCUCGAAAUUGCAUCUGAUACUGGUCGGCUAGAGAAUAGUUGAGGUAGGCGGAAUGCAUGGUGUAGCGGUGAAAUGCUUAGAUAUCACACAGAACACCGAUUGCGAAGGCAUCUUACGAAGCCACGAUUGACGUUGAUGCACGAAAGCGUGGGUAUCAAACAGGAUUAGAUACCCGUGUAGUC
rnacentral:rRNA from 1 species